rnacentral:rRNA from 1 species
AGAGCGAACGCUGGCGGCAGGCUUAACACAUGCAAGUCGAACGGGCGUAGCAAUACGUCAGUGGCAGACGGGUGAGUAACGCGUGGGAACGUACCUUUUGGUUCGGAACAACACAGGGAAACUUGUGCUAAUACCGGAUAAGCCCUUACGGGGAAAGAUUUAUCGCCGAAAGAUCGGCCCGCGUCUGAUUAGCUAGUUGGUAGGGUAACGGCCUACCAAGGCGACGAUCAGUAGCUGGUCUGAGAGGAUGAUCAGCCACAUUGGGACUGAGACACGGCCCAAACUCCUACGGGAGGCAGCAGUGGGGAAUAUUGGACAAUGGGCGAAAGCCUGAUCCAGCCAUGCCGCGUGAGUGAUGAAGGCCCUAGGGUUGUAAAGCUCUUUUGUGCGGGAAGAUAAUGACGGUACCGCAAGAAUAAGCCCCGGCUAACUUCGUGCCAGCAGCCGC